GAAGGAGAAAGAGAGGAGGCCGGGGCGGGCUCUAGGCCGUUGAAUCUGGGGCCUCAAAGCCCCUUCGUCUCCCUGGCACCCACUCUCUGGGGGCAGGCGGGCCCGGUGACAGGGAGCCCUGAAGACCAUGGAGGCCUACUGACCAACGACCUCUGACCUUUACCCCUCCGGAUGGGGGACGGAUCACUAGGCAAAGGGGAACAAUGGGAAGGAGACAAAAUGGCUGCCUCUACAGCUGCAGCAAGAUUUGCAAACACGGGUUCCGCAGGCACCUCCAUUGACUUCCCGCCUUGGGAACAUGAAAUAAAUAAAGUGUGACUAGGAACAUGA